CGAGGAGGACAGGGCGAUCGCGGUGGCCUCAAAAACCAUCGAGGAAAGUCCGGGCUCCACAGGGCAGGGUGCUGGCGCAGGCCAGUCGGGGUGACCCGAAGGAAAGUGCCACAGAAAGCAAAACCGCUCGCUUCGGCGGGUAAGGGUGAAAAGGUGCGGUAAGAGCGCACCGGGGACCUGGCGACAGGGACCGCAGGGUAAACCCCACCCGGAGCAAGGCCAAACAGGGGCCGAGGUGUCUGUCCGCAAGGACAGCCCUCAGGAGCUGCCCGCUCCGCCCCGGGUGCGCCGCUCAGAUGAAUGAUCGCCACCCGGCGGAGGCAACGACGCCGGGGACAGAACCCGGCUUACGACCUCUCUCGACCG
rnacentral:RNase_P_RNA from 1 species